GAAGGAAUCAUCAGCUUUUGAUUGUUGCUAGCUUCUGAUAAGUACUUUUAUUGCUGGUUCUUAGCAGUGGGAGAAGAAAAAGAAGCAGUAAUCUAGUUUUGACCGUUGCCCGAUUCUGUUUCCUGUUCUCAGAGGGAAGGCUUGUGUCAAGAUGAAUCCAGGUGACGAUAUUCCUGUGGUGGAGGUGGAACAAUCCAUGGCUCUAUCUCUGAUAAGAGAGAGCCAAUUAUUGACCCCAUCUCAUGUAGAAAGU